rnacentral:rRNA from 1 species
ACGACUGCGGGUCUUUGGGCCACCUCCCAUCCGUGUCUAUUGUACCCUGUUGCUUCGGCGGGCCCGCCGCUUGUCGGCCGCCGGGGGGGCGCCUCUGCCCCCCGGGCCCGUGCCCGCCGGAGACCCCAACACGAACACUGUCUGAAAGCGUGCAGUCUGAGUUGAUUGAAUGCAAUCAGUUAAAACUUUCAACAAUGGAUCUCUUGGUUCCGGCAUCGAUGAAGAACGCAGCGAAAUGCGAUAACUAAUGUGAAUUGCAGAAUUCAGUGAAUCAUCGAGUCUUUGAACGCACAUUGCGCCCCCUGGUAUUCCGGGGGGCAUGCCUGUCCGAGCGUCAUUGCUGCCCUCAAGCCCGGCUUGUGUGUUGGGUCGCCGUCCCCCUCUCCGGGGGGACGGGCCCGAAAGGCAGCGGCGGCACCGCGUCCGAUCCUCGAGCGUAUGGGGCUUUGUCACAUGCUCUGUAGGAUUGGCCGGCGCCUGCCGACGUUUUCCAACCAUUCUUUCCAGGUUGACCUCGGAUCAGGUAGGGAUACCCGCUGAACUUAAGCAUAUC